rnacentral:lncRNA from 12 species
CUUUAUUGUUCCAAAGCCAACUAGACAAAGAAGAGCAUUCUCCUUUCUUUGGCUGACUAAUCUCUGGGUACUUUCUUCUCAGCCUCUGGCUACAGCUCAAACUCACAUUGUUAAUUUCUCAUUGCAUCGAAUAUCAAGCAAAGGCAGAAAUCAGAUUUGAUUGAAAUCUAUGUUUUAUUAGCUUCAUUUUGGUUUCUUCCCACUGAGAAAAUGAGUACACUGAUACCAACAGUUUACAGAUACCUAGGGAGGCCUUGGUGUUGUCCAGAAGGUUAUACAAACUUGAGGAGUAAAAAAGGGAAGGCCAGUAUAAAAACUCCUAUCAUUAGAGAAUUUGCAAUAUUCUGAAAGCAGAAUUUUACUCACAAGCAAAUGCUUCUAGUCCAACAGCAUAAAUCAUCACUAAUAAGUGAUGAGUACAAUCCAUCUCUUUGGGUAAAGCUGGAUUCUAUAGGCUUAGCAUCAGAGGAGACUUGUAAUGACCGUGCAGGUCCACCCUGGUGGCCUCACAGUUCUCGAUAGUGUCAGGACAUUCACACUCUCUAAGGCAGUCAUUGGGAGCAAGAUAAGCCUGACACCUAGAGAGUAUCCUGCUGCUCUUACUAUGAAAGGAAGCUUUGUGAGUGGAUUCUGUCGCUGGAAACCCACGUGGAAGUCUUUGAAGGACACAGGAAGCAAGAACAAAGGAGAUGAGCAUUCGUCCAGCACCAGAACCGAUUCAUCCAGCUUUAAGAGAGCUCCACAAAACGGAAAAGGCAGAAGCAGGCUGUGUGACGCAAAUGACCCAGCAGCAAGUGCACUCCAGGUCGGGCCUAUAAUUCAAGUUCACGGUGCUCAGUGCUCCCCGGUACGACAGGGAAUAUCCAGCCCUGUAUGUAUGAACAAUAAAGACAGCACUGGCAGGGAACCUGGUCCCUUCCGGGUCAGCCCACAGCAGGAGGUGGCUUGUGAAGCUGCCUGGAGCUCUGACCCAGGACUCCGCGCCCUGAGUGCAAGCUGCCCGAGUGGUAAAUGCACUUGCCUUGAGCCACUUCCCCGCUGCAGUUUCUCUGCUGGAAGCUUCGGCUCUGCCCUGAGGGCAGUUCUUAUUGGACUUUGGUGCGGUUCCUAUUUCACAAAUCAGAGCUUAAACCUUCAUAAGAGAGUAUUGAUUUGUGCUAUCAAAGCAGCAAGAUUCUAGAGCUGGGCACUGAGGGAGUCUGGUCCUUUUCAUCAAUAUUUUCUUACUCAUUAAAGCAGAUGUCUGAUUCAAAUUUUGAUUUUCAGCCAGACUCAGAGACUGAGAAUCAGUGUGCUGAUUAUGCUGUCUUUACUGGGCAACAAAAAUCUGUCCAUCUCUCGCUCUCUCCUUUACCCUCUCUUUCUUCUUGUGUCUUGUCUAGUCUUGAUGUUCAAAUUCAAGCCCUGCUGAUUUUCUGCCACGGUUCCCUUGGGGAGAUCCAAAGGGUAACCUCCAACCCAGAGCAGAGGUUAGCCAAUCGCCAGUGUUCCCAGGCUCUAGGGAUAGAUGCCUCAUCAUCAUCCCAGCAGGUGAUUUCUGCCCUAAUGGGCUGCUUCAGUCAUCCUUUUCAGCCCAGAGCCCCGAAGAUUUAGGGGUCUGAACAGAUAAAGAGCAGUGAAGAAGAUCCACAAACUCAUCAAAGGAUAAUUCAUGAGUCAUAGCCCAAAUGCCCUCCUGGGAGUGAUCUCUCCACCAUUCCUCUCAGACCUCCUGCCCACUUAGGCAGCACUGCACAGUGCAAAGAGCACAGGAUUUACAGCCAUUCAGUCCUCAUUUGCAUCUUCAGCUCAGCCUACUUGCUAGAAGUGUGACUUCGGGUGAAUAACUGAACUCCGGGUCCAUUUUCCUCAGCUGUUAGACACGGAGAGUAAUCGCUACCUCAUGCAGUUGGCAUAGAAGUGAAAUUAGACAGCAUAACUAAAUAAACCAAGUGUUUCUCAUAAUCA